CGCCAACUCCUGUCAGCUGACACAUCCCUGCCAAUCUCCGGCAGACCCUCCCUCUCAGACCCUCCUACUUCCUGGACAGCAUCCAUGUUGAAGGCAGCUUCAACAGGGUCUGCCGGAGAUUGGCAGGGAUGUGUCAGCUGACCGG